rnacentral:rRNA from 1 species
CUAACAUAACUAACUCACCCCCCCCACCACAAUUUAAAACACGACUCAUCUACCCAACAAAUUAAAAUUAGAAGUAAAGGCGAUUGAACCUACAAUUAAAAUAAGUACCGUAAGGGAAUAAUGAAAAAGAAAUGAAAUAAUCAUAAAAAAAAAAAAAAAAGUGCCUUGCGCGCGUACCUUUUGCAUUAUGGUUUAGCUAACAAAAAGAUACCCCCAUCUCUCCCCGAAAUUAAGUGAGCUAUUCUCUCCCGGAGACUAAUUAUUUAGUGCUCUACUCCCAUUACUGUGGCAAUAGUAAAGAUAGAGGAAAGAAUAGAAGUAAAAUGCCAACCGCACUUAACGAUAGCUGGUUGUAGUCGAAACAAGCAGCAGCUUUGCACCCUAUAAAAGUGAUGUUAAGAUUUUAAGGAUAAGCUUAAAAUCUAAUACAGAAACAACUGCCAACCCAAAUAAGGCCAACAAUCAACCCCCCCCCGAAAUCGUAGACUUAAAAGCAGCCACCGAUAAAAGUGCGUUACAGCCUAUUUAAAACAUCCUUAAAAAUAAUUGAUAAUAAUACCGCCUAAUUUAUAAUAGACUACUAUUCCCCCCCGUGAAUAAAUACUGCUAAAACUAGUAACUUACCUUCAACCCUAAGUAAAUACGGCUUCUAACCUCGGAAUGAAAUUCCUUCAGUCAUAAAACCUCAGAAACUAAAAUAACCAAUACCGUUAACCAACUCAGGAGAAGGCCCUAAACCAAACUAAAGAGAAGGAACUCGGCAAACCCUGGCCUCGCCUGUUUACCAAAAACAUCACCCCCCGCAUCUAUUAAAUGGGGGGCACUGCCUGCCCAGUGAAUUUAUUUUAAACGGCCGCGGUAACUUAACCGUGCAAAGGUAGCACAAUCACUAGCCCUCUAAAUAAGGGCCUGUAUGAAUGGCAACACGAGGGCUGAACUGUCUCCUCUUUAUCCUACGAAACUUCUUUGGCCGUGCAAAAGCGUCCAUAAAAGCGCCAGACGAGAAGACCCUGUCGAGCUUCAGGAGUAAAAAACCGACUAAAAGUUACAAUCGGCUGACUAAAAUUUACGUUUUUACUCUAACCACACACUGUAACUUAUUCUCCCCCUCUUUCUUACCCCUUUGGUUGGGGCAACCCCGGAGAAAACCCACCCUCUGAAUCAAACUACUUUUAACCGACAUUACGUCCUAAACAAGAACCUUAUGAUACACAUGACCCGAUUAACCCGAACAACAAACAAAGUUACCGCAGGGAUAACAGCGUAAUCCCUCCCAAGAGCCCCCAUUGCCGGAGGGGUUUGCGACCUCGAUGUUGGAUCAGGGUACCCCGAUGGUGUAACCGCUAUCAAAGGUUGGUCUGUUCGACCAUUAAAACCCCACGUGAUCUGAGUUAAGACCGGCGAAAGCCAGGUCGGCUUCUAUCUACGCCAUUAGACUAUUUUCAGUACGAAAGGACAGAAAUAGCCGAGUCCCUAGGAACCCUACACUCGAUUAAAAAAAUGAUCACAACUAAUU